AUUGAACGCUGGCGGCAGGCCUAACACAUGCAAGUCGAGCGAGCGGCGGACGGGUGAGUAAUGUAUGGGGACUGCCCGAUAGAGGGGGCUUACUACUGGAAACGGUGGCUAAUCCCGCAUACUGUCGGACAACCCCUAUUGGAUUAGCUAGUAGGUAAGGUAAUGGCUUACCUAGGCGACGAUCCCUAGCUGGCCUGAGAGGAUGAUCAGCCACACUGGGACUGAGACACGGCCCAGACUCCUACGGAGGCAGCAGUGGGGAAUAUUGCACAAUGGGCGAAAGCCUGAUGCAGCCAUGCCGCGUGUAUGAAGAAGGCCCUAGGGUUGUAAAGUACUUUCAGUCGGGAGGCGUUACCGACAGAAGAAGCACCGGCUAACUCCGUGCCAGCAGCCGCGGUAAUAC
rnacentral:rRNA from 1 species